UAAAUAUGCCAUGUGUCCCUAAACAUAAUUUUUAAACAUCUGUAGCAAAUAAACGAAACCUCUCUGGUAUCCAUGGCCCGACAGAAAAGUAAAUGCGAAGGGCCUACAAUCAGCAGACAAGGGUGAGUUAAUCUAUAACAUAUUCCUGGUUUGGACGAGGGAUGCAGAAUAUCGCCUCGUCUGGGGACUGUUUUGGAUUAUUGCAGGUGUGGUGUAGUCUGGUCGCUUUUACAGUCGCGGACUAAUCACCCUUCGGUAGUGGAUAAUUAAGCCUACCAAUUGAGGAGGAGCUGUGAACGUCAGACGACCAUGUCCCCUAUGAAGAACUCCGGGGCUGUGUGAGGAUGUAGAUUAACUUCAAAGGUACUCUCGCAGGUGGAAUCUGACAAUCCAAGAUGUAAAGGAGGUAGAGGGAGAGGAUAUUAGAGAAUUAGUCAUUAAUAUCCUGGGAAAAGUGGUAAUACCGCAGGAUCAGGCUGCAAGAGAGAAACUGUAUCCGUUUAUACAGAAGGCGCAACAAGAGGGAAAGAAGGCGGGGUUCAAGGGCUCACACGCGUUUAUCGGAGGACGAAUGAUUACUGGGUAACUGUUGACAUUAACCAAAUUGGAACUGAGAAGACCUCAAAGCCCCUGUGUAAGAUACCCUCGCAACCAGAGAAGCAAACUCGUCCACUGAAAGGGAAGCCUCCUCAGAUCAUGAUAGAAACAAAGGCAUCAGUGAGCAGCACAUUGCCUGCCAUGACAAAGCUUCCGUUUCUACCUGGGGUCGCCUUUAAAUUUUAUAGAGCCAGCCUGGGUAAAAAGUUGUAUCAGCCUACAUCUGAUUUCAACCUCAGUGACCCAAACUGUCACAUUAUGAGGCCGACGUACAACAGUUUGCAUGACCCAAACCUCAAUAAAUACUACCAUCAGAAGGAAAUGCA